AGCCGGGUCCUGCGCAACAAGAGAUUACAAACCCCGCCAGGUCCGGAAGGAAGCAACGGUAGUAAUUCCCCUUGUGUGCCGCAGGGGCGCCUGGCUAUC
rfam:Deltaproteobacteria bacterium RBG_16_49_23 RBG_16_scaffold_7400, whole genome shotgun sequence.